UUGGCACAUGCCCACACCUCCCAAACUGUCCUGUGUCUUGUGUGAGUAGAGUGUGUGUCUGUGAUAGUGCCGAGAGUGAACGUGUGUGGGUGUGAGUAGUGAGUGUGAAAAGUGAACAUGCAUGUAUAUGUGUGGGUGUGUGGAGGGGGUAUGCCAUUGGCCAGGAGUGAGUGUGUGAAGUGAACUUGUUUAUACAACACAUUGACCCUUCCUCCGCACACACGCAGUUUGUGAAGUUUGCCGAGCGAGAGGAAGGGAACACCCCCUACCACAGACAGUACGACUUCCUCAUCCACCGCUUUGCCUCUCUUAGCCUCACCAAGAAUGUUGACGACACCGAUAAAUAUCACGAGACGCGGAUGGCUGGGUUGCAAGGACUGAGGGGAGUGAUAAAGAUCACAUGAACAAGAUAGUGCCGCCCUUCCUCUUCAAUAUGCACAGUCACAGUGUCGCCCAGUCAAGGUAUACUGUCUAGGAAAGUCACUACAAUUUGCUUCAGUUCUACUCCUGGAGCAUACACAUACUUCAAUGAGUAAAUGUUGAUAGCCUCAGUCUGUAUCAAACGUACCUAUUGAUGGCCUUAGAUAAUUAUACAGUGUGUGCCAAUAGUAACCUCCCUCCCACUCUGACAGAGAGUCUGGUGAGAUCCAGCCUGUUGUGGAGGAGGGGGACAGUCUGGGGGGGUACUCUCAGGAUAGUCUCACUGCAGGAGCUUAUCGCUUUUGCCGGACUCUCUCCCAUCGAUAGUGUCCUCAAGCCAAUACUACAACACUAUGACCUAAACAAACUAUAGAUAUCGGACAAGGAAUUCACAGCUGGUGUGUACGCCAUCGUUGUGGAAGCCAUGCAGAGACAGGAUCGGUACAAGGCCGUCCAGUUGCUGGUGGACCACGUGGAUGCCAAGGUGAAGGAGUCCUGGGAGACCAAACAAGGGAUCCUCGGCACACUCUAAGUGUGUUGCCGUGGCAGCAGACAGCUCUCUAGGUGAGUCUCCAUGGUAAAGUACUUGUAUGGUUGCACAUACUAUUUUUGGGCCAUUUUCUAAACAAGGCUAUAUGCAUUUAUUCUUCGUACAUGUACUUCGAUGCUUUCAUAGCUGUUAUUAAGUUUCUGCAUGACUGUACAUGUAUGUUUUGACACUGGCUUAAUCCUUAAUCUCUAUAAUUAUGCCUCGGUGCGCAUGCGCAAGCGAGGUAUACGGUAGUGUGUUUGUGUGUCUGUGUCUGUGUGUGUGUAGGCUGCUACAGCUGCUCAAGGAUGAAUCAAGUGCAAGUAAGAGUUUUUAUAGGCUUCUAGUCAUGUUUUCUUGGAUUUCAAUUCGUGGAUUUGCAAAAUAAUGCUUAGUUUUCGUGUUAUGCCUAGUUUUGCUUACUUGAAAUGCCAUUGCAGCCUUUUCAGAAGAGUCUGUACCAAAACUUGUUCACCGAGUGUUGCUACUGUACUUAGUAGUUAGCUCUGCACUAGAAUGCUAGUUAUAGCUGCAAGAGUGAGAAGAGAGCUGCAAAGCUCUGCUGACUUGCAGCCAUUCAUUUUUGACUUGAACUUUUGGCAUCGAUCGCUUUUAAAAACAAUCAUGGGCGAUCAUUACCCACUCUUCGAGUUUCCCUGUGAUUCUGGAUUCUGCAUGCAGCAAAAUUAAAAAUGUUCAUCAUGAUCAAUGUGUGUAUAAAAGCUAGCUUUAUGUUAUGUAGCUUUGGCACCUCUACCGAGGCAUCAGCACCCGUGGUGCUUUCAUUAUACGUAGUGUGGUUUAAUUCCACGCUUUAAAUCUGCAUACAUGUAUUUACAUUACUUAGCUUGUGUCCACUCAUGCAGGUCCGUCUGUACUGGAUAUAUUCCCUACACUGGUUCCGCCACCUCCGUAUCUCCAUAGAAACCGUUUCAGAAGGCCCCUCUGACCUCACGUCCUCUCUAACCUUUCAGCAAUCCAUCACUAUCACUGUGGGGGAGUUUGCAGGAGUCCUUCCCGACUAUCAUAAGCCAGAUAUACUGGAGCUCAUCAACUCUUAUGUACCCGUGGCCUCAAGGGGUCUUAAUAGCGGAGCCACCACUGGACUGUCUGUACAUCCUCUGGCAUCUCAGGACACUCAAAACAGGUGAGAAUGAUAUUAUACAGCUUUUGCUUCAUUUAGCUGUUUGUGUACAUGUA